rnacentral:lncRNA from 1 species
GAUGAUAUACUGUCUGAUUCCCAUACAGCUUAUUCAGAUUACAUUUCUCAAGGACUCUUUCUGAGCACAAGCUGGAUCAUUGCAGAGAUACCUUUUAUAUGUCAGGGACUCAGAAGACUGUUUCAACCCACUGGAAAAAUAGUAAGCAUCUCUUAGUUUUGGUUAGAAAAAAAAAUGUAAAUCUUCUUUUGUGAUUUCCUGUACACAUUUUUUUCUCUUCCCUAGUCACUGUUGACCUUAACCAAUGUAUUAUUAGUGGAUUUAAAAAUCCAUGAUAUCUGUAAUAGUCUCACAUAAUGCUGUCUCAGAAAAGUUAAGUUAUUAGAAAGCAUAGAUAUCAGAUAGAUUUCAGGGAAAAGUUGAGCAGUCGAUUCAGAGCUGUACUUUGUCUUGUUAUGAUCAAAACUUUAUAUUUGCAGGACGAACCCCUAAUGCAGGAGAGGCCACUGAGCAUCUUAAAUGUAGCCAAAAGCUUGAAAGACUAGUGAUAAUGGCGCAUGUCUGAGGGGGUCCCUCCCACUUGUAAAGCCACUAAACCAUUGGGCGGAGAUCGGCUAGCCUUCAAGUCAACAAGUAAGUAUCUUUUCCUGAAUCUGCAUGGGCCCUAUAGAGAAUCACCUGUGGCUAAGUAAGAUGGAAACGAAAGUCGCUUGAAGUAUAUUUUGCAUUACCUGUUGAAUAUCAACCCAUGCUGUCAAGUCAGCAAAUGUGUCUGCCUUAGGGAUGAGCAGUGUUACUGCACUCAAAGUUGGAACAUGUGCGCAUACAACCCCGAGCAUUUGUAGUUAGUGAGUGGUCCAUGAUAAGGCUGUAUUGUUACCAUCUCUGUUAUGGAAACUUUCUGUCUAAUCAAACCUUAGCUUUACUCCUUUGGUGCCUAUACGCAGAUAGUUUUGAGAGGUUCUUUUUGACAAAAGCAUACACUGAAAUGAUUGUAGAGAUUGGCAAUUUUCUUUUCGCUUAUCGAUAAGUCAUAACGAAGCUAUAGCUACCUCACUACCGAAAGCAGCUUUGGGAUUAGUCCCUUGUCUGACUGUAGUCUAUUUUAUCAGAAAUCAGGUUGAUUAAACCAUCAAAUCAUGAAUGUAAACCCAUGUUUAAUGGUUUAUUGAGAUAUAAUAAACUGAUGAAGAAAC